rnacentral:tRNA from 1 species
GGUCAUAGCUCAGUGGUAGAGUGCUUGCCUAGCAUGUGAGAGGCACUGGGUUCAAUACUCAGCAGAGCA